GUCAAAAAUGCAACCUUGCAAUUUUUACAGAUGUUUAAAGUCAGGUGAUUGAGCAGCUGAUUUUUGUGACAAAAUUGGCGGGAAAUAUUUAAUAACUUUGAGAGCUUGGCAAAUCUAAACCAAACAAUAUUUUUCUAUUAUUUAAAAUGGAUAUUGAAGUUGGAGAUGUGCUUGAAUUCUGUCACGCCACGUUGCUGGACGUGUGGAUGGACAGCGGGCGCCACUCUUCCGCGCUGACUGAAUUUGUAUUUGGUCAAAUAGAUCAAUGUACACUAAGCGACGACAAAAGGAGUGAAAUAAAUAAAAAAAAUAAGAAGUUUUGAAAUUUUUGUUACGUCAAACCUGCAAAAGUGCAGUCGGAAUAUGCGAACAUUCAGAGAAAAGCAUUCACAGUGGCUAUUAAAGUCUCUUAAAAUACAUUUGGAAAAUCACUCGGAGAUG